rnacentral:tRNA from 1 species
AAUGAAGUGCCUGACCAAAAGGGUUAUCUUGAUAGGGUGAAUUAUGCAUUUUUGUGCCUUCAUUA